rnacentral:rRNA from 1 species
AUGAUUUUAGUAAAAAAGAAGGACGGCACAUGGCGCCUCUGCGUAGAUUAUCGCCAUCUCAAUGCUAUGACCACAGUGCCCAAAUUUCCAGUACCAGUAAUUGAGGAGCUGCUUGACGAACUACACGGAGCAGUCUGGUUCUCCAAACUUGAUCUUCGAGCAGGCUAUCACCAGAUCCGUAUUGCCGACGGUGAAGAAUACAAAACAGCCUUCACAACUCAUUCUGGGCACUUCCAGUUCCUGGUGCUGUCAUUUGGACUGGCAGGAGGACCGGCGACGUUUAUAGGGGCUGUUACUGACACCUUGAAUCCUCUCUUACGCAAGUGUGUGCUGCUGUUCUUUGACGACAUACUAGUCUUCAGCCGUACUUUGAAGGAUCAUGCUGCCCAUCUGGCGCAAGUUUUGCACCUGUUGUGUCGCGACCAAUGGAAGGUCAAGGCUUCGAAAUGUUGUUUUGGCCAGCGCCAGUUAUCUUACCUGGGCCACGUGAUCAGUGACAAAGGUGUGGCCACCGAGCCAAGCAAAGUGUAG